rnacentral:lncRNA from 1 species
UGUGGGAAGCCGCCCCCACAUUCGCCGUCACAAGAUGGCGCUGACAUCCUGUGUUCUAAGUUGGUAAACAAAUAAUUUGCGCAUGAGCCAAGGGUAUUUACGACUACUUGUACUCUGUUUUUCCCGUGAACGUCAGCUCGGCCAUGGGCUGCAGCCAAUCAGGGAGUGAUGCGUCCUAGGCAAUUGUUGUUCUCUUUUAAAUAGAAGGGGUUUCGUUUUUCGCUCUCUCUUGCUUUUCGCUCUCUCUUGCUUCUUACACUCUGGCCCCAUAAGAUGUAAGCAAUAAAGCUUUGCCGUAGAAGAUUCUGGUUGUUGUGUUCUUCCUGGCCGGUCGUGAGAACGCGUCGAAUAACAAUUGGUGCCGAAUUCCGGGACGAGAAAAAACUCCGGACUGGCGCAGGAGGGAUACCUCAUUCCGGAACCAGAACUGCGGAUCACGUUUAUAAAGGUUCCCGUAACACAGACUGUUGAGAAGGAUUCAACUGCCGAAUUCAGAACUCAUCAGCUGGGGAACGACGGUGAUAAAGGUUCCCGUAAAGCAGACUGUUAAGAAGGAUUCAACUGUAUGAAUUCAGAACUUUUCAGCUGGGGAACGAGGUAAGUCUGAUCUUGAACUUUCUAAGGAAAUUCAAGACAGUCUAUCAGAAGUAAAGUGGAAAAUGGCUUUACAAGUUAUGUUUGGCCUUAAAUUUUUUCUAGUGUUAGAAGCCCUUCUGUUCCUUUUCACAUGUUAUAUAGUGCUUAAGAUAGGGCUGAAAAUUCUAGAGGAAAUUCAGGACAAUCUAUCAGAAGUAAAGCGGGGAGAGAGAGUAGGAACAAAGAGGAAGUAUGGUACACAAAAUAAGUAUACAGGCCUUUCCAAGGGUCUUGAACCCGAGGAAAAGUUAAGGUUAGGUAGGAAUACCUGGAGAGAGAUUAGAAGAAAAAGAGGAAAAAGGGAGAAGAAAAAAGAUCGAUUAGCGGAGGUCUCUAGGAGAUACUCGUCACUAGAUGAGCUCAGGAAGCCAGCUCUUAGUAGCUCUGAAGCAAGUGAAGAAUCCUCCUCUGAGGAAACAGACUGGGAGGAAGAAGCAGCCCAUUACCAGCCAGCUAAUUGGUCAAGAAAAAAGCCAAAAGCGGCUGGCGAAAGUCAGCGUACUGUUCAACCUCCCGGCAGUCGGUUUCAAGGUCCGCCCUAUGCGGAGCCCCCGCCCUGCGUAGUGCGUCAGCAAUGCGCAGAGGGGCAAUGCGCAGAGAGGUGCGCAGAGAGGCAGUGCGCAGAGAGGUGCGCAGAGAGGCAGUGCGCAGAGAGGCAGUGCGCAGACUCAUUCAUUCCCCGAGAGGAACAAAAGAAAAUACAACAGGCAUUUCCAGUCUUUGAAGGAGCCGAGGGUGGGCGUGUCCACGCUCCGGUAGAAUACGUACAGAUUAAGGAAAUUGCCGAGUCGGUUCGUAAAUACGGAACCAAUGCUAAUUUUACCUUGGCGCAGUUAGACAGGCUCGCUGGUAUGGCACUAACGCCUGCCGACUGGCAAAUGAUUGCAAAAGCCGCUCUCCCUAGUAUGGCCAAAUAUGUGGAAUGGCGAGCUCUGUGGCAGGAGGCGGCACAGGCGCAGGCCCGAGC